rnacentral:lncRNA from 1 species
GGCAUCAUUACUGCUAAGAUCAGCCUGCAAUCCCGGCUGGAGGCAGGCGCAGGACUUGGAGAGAGCCAGACACACACUCACACACAUACUCACAUACAUGUGUCCGAUGCCUUCUCCGACUUACGAGGGUCCUGGGUCGCCGUGCCUGCUCCUCAUGUGAUCUUUUCAUCAUUUCCAGAGGACAGAAAGAGACAGAAAAAAAAAAAAAAAAAAAAAAAAAAAAAAAAAAAAAAAAAAAAAAGGCAAGAAAAAAAAAAGCUAACAACCAAAAAAAAACCAGAAAGAAACCCCAAGACCAAGCGUAGCCGCGGUCCCCUCUCGUUUAUUUUUUUACCGGAGAAGGAGGAACGGCGGAGGAAAGAGCGAGCGAAUCGAGGAGAGCAAGCGCGUUGGGAAUGCCAGAGCCGCGGGCUGCGCGCCGGAGGAGGAGGUGGCGGAGCAGGGGGCAGGCCAGAUCUGACAGAUAGCGGAUAUGAGGACUUUGCUGACUUCAGAAAGCUGACAGAAAGCAACAGACCUCAGUGAAAUACCCCUCCAAGAACAGAGACUUUUGGUAGCAUUAAAUUGACCUGUUGUUCAACUACAAAGACAUGGCAACUGGUUCUUUCAGCACACAUGGAGGAAGGCAACAAACAUUGUAACCCUGGCUAAAAAGACUCUGUUUUCCUUAUCAAAAGUAGGAGUUAGGGCAAUUAUAAAAGGAUUAUUUUAUUGUUAGCCUCCAGGACUUUAACUCUGCCUGAACACUGGACAUAAAUAGAAGCCAAUUUUAAUGACCUGAGAUUUUGUUACCUGUGUGUUAUUAUUGUUAUCAGUUCCUGAAUAGUUUGGUAC